AAAAGUUUAACGGCCGCGGUAUUUUGACCGUGCGAAGGUAGCGUAAUCACUUGUCUUUUAAAUGAAGACCUGUAUGAAUGGCAUAACGAGGGCUCAACUGUCUCCUUUUUCCAGUCAGUGAAAUUGACCUGCUCGUGCAGAGGCGAGCAUAAACCCAUAAGACGAGAAGACCCUAUGGAGCUUAAAACACAAGAUCAACUAUGCUAUCAAGCCUAUCACCCACGGAAAUAAUAGCUAAAAGCAUAAUAGCACCCUGAUCCUAAUGUUUUCGGUUGGGGCGACCACGGAGGACAAAAAAGCCUCCAUGUCGACGGGGGCACUGCCCCUAAAACCUAGGGCGACAGCCCAAAGCAACAGAACAUCUGACGAACAAUGACCCAGGCUAAAGCCUGAUCAACGAACCAAGUUACCCUAGGGAUAACAGCGCAAUCCUUUCUAAGAGUCCAUAUCGACGAAAGGGUUUACGACCUCGAUGUUGGAUCAGGACAUCCUAAUGGUGUAGCCGCUAUUAAGGG
rnacentral:rRNA from 1 species